rnacentral:misc_RNA from 1 species
CUUAGCAGUCAUGGUGAAGAUCCCUCUUGAGUUAACUGCUUUUUUUCUCUGCUCCAUCGUGCUCUUUAUAUUUAUCCGAGCAAGGAGAACCAAUAAGCCCAACCUGCCACCCGGUCCCCGGCCCUUACCGCUCAUUGGUAACCUCCACCUCCUCGGCAACCACCCCCACAUCUCCCUCCAGCGUCUCGCCAAACUCUACGGCCCCAUAUUCUAUCUCAGUCUCGGCGAAAUCCCCACUGUCAUCAUCUCAUCAGCCCGUACAGCAAGGGAGGUCCUGCGUACCCACGACCUCCCUCUCUCGAGCCGCCCCAAGAUCUACUCAGCCAUGAAACUCUUCUACGGCUGCACCGACAUCGCUUUCUCCCCAUACGGUCCCUAUUGGCGUCAUGUCCGGAAAAUUUGCAUCCUCGAGAUGCUCAGUGCGAAGAGGGUGGAGUCGUAUGCCUCGUCCAGAGCCGAGGAGGUCUCACGUCUGGUCGACCGGGUGGCGGCAUCACCGGAGACGGUGGAGCUGAGUGGAGUUCUUGGUCUGUAUGCGAACGGGGUGUUGUGUAAGGCAGCGUUCGGGAAAGAGUUUGUCGAAGGAGGGGACUAUGAGAGACGUGGAUUUGUAAAGAUGCUGGAGGAAUACCAGGAGUUGCUCGGAGGGCUCAGUGUCGGGGAUUUCUUUCCAUCGUGGGAGUGGAUUCGUGUAGUGACAGGGAUGAAGAGGAGGUUGGAGUGGACUUCCGG